CCCCUCUCGAGCUUCAUCCCCCACGGUGUCCAGAGACCAGCACCUGGCGGUGGCAGGUCCGUUCCCUCUGGUCAGGUGGGAUUCGCCUCAAAUUGCCAGGGGUCAAAUUGACGGGAUUCCUUUGGGAACCGGUGCUGGAGAAUCCGGGACGGAUCCAAUCCAAUUUUGUGACUCAGGUCCUGCGAUGUCAGUGCCGAAGAACGCGC
rnacentral:lncRNA from 1 species